CAAAACAAGUUUACUAUUUUCAGAAGGACUGAGCACUGUGGAGCUCCAUUAAUUCUUUUCGAAAAUCAAAAUUAAAAUGCUGGAGGCAGCCCUGCCUCAAGUUCUUUGGAGGCAGAAACCAUCUCUGCAUAUUCAAUUAUCUGUUCCGUUAUUGGUCCAUCUGGAAUUGCCAAAUGUGUAUCACACAGAUUAACCUGCCUGGCUUUCAUGCAUGCUGUGUGUUAUUCAAAGUGCAGCCGGGGUAACAACGGCUUUCCACCUGUGGCAAUUUAAAGCACUUACAGUAAAGACAGCUGGAUACCAAAGGAAUUUCAAAUUCCUUUGCCUUUAAAAAAAAGGAAUUGGCUGGGCAUGGACAGAUGGAUGACCAGAGUUUGAUGCUCAACACAGUGGGUUAUCCUAUAAUGAAUCUGAACAGAAAUCAUAAUUUCUUGUCGUGGUCCAGCUCAGCUUUUUGCAUCAUCAUCACCCCCUGUGCCUCCUAUGAGAAUAUCUUCUGCUAUUAUUUUCACUCCAGGAACCCUUUCCAAUGCCUGGGAUUGUCUUUUUCCAAACAGCAGUUCAGAAACUAAACAGAUUCCCAUGGAAACACCUGUCUACAAAAAUGGUCCAAAUAUGGACAAUGCUUCUCCCCUUUAUCCUACCUCCUGCUGGGAAUUCCAUCUGAAAGCACGCCAGCCCUCCCAAUGUGCGAAGCAUGGCAAAAGCAAGCAUUUUUUUUCUCCUGAAUUCCAAGCACAAAAAAGAGCUCUAAAGUUAAACCCAGCUGCGUGUUUUGAUGAUUAAAAAGUCAGGACCAAAGACAGCCCUGUUUCUCCAUUUGUCAUCAGCUUUAGAUAUGCAAAAUAAGGGUUGGUACUUCCUCCCACCUGCAGCUGAAAACCUAGAUAAUUUGCAAGAGUCUAUAUGUAAAUAUUGAAAAUAAUUUACAACAUGUUGAUUACUGCUAUCCACAAGUUUUCAAAGCCCAGUUCUUACUAUCUGUUCUCUUCAGCCCACCCCAGUUUCCUAUUUUUUUAAUGAUUUAAGACCAUGUUUCUUUCCUCCUUUUAAAUCAGAUACUUCUGCUUGCUUAAUUUAUGCACAUUUUACCUUAGGUUUUCAAGAAAUUGCAUCCUGAUUCUGUACCAUCUACCUUGCAGCUAAUUUAAAAGGGUGAUUCGUGUUAAUUUAAGGGGGAUUGCUUCUUUCAGGUUUCAACACAAGUAUCUUGGUUACACCACAAAUGUGGAUUUAUUUAUUCAAAUAAAUAACAUGAAUCUC